rnacentral:rRNA from 1 species
UACGUAGGGGGCGAGCGUUGUCCGGAGUUACUGGGCGUAAAGCGCACGCAGGCGGUGCUGCGCGUUUGGGGUUACAGCUCCCGGCUCAACCGGGAGAGCGCCUCGAAGACGGCAGCACUUGAGGGCCAGAGAGGGACACGGAACUCCGGGUGGAGUGGUGAAAUGCGUAGAUAUCCGGAAGAACACCAAAGGCGAAGGCAGUGUCCUGGCGAGUAUCCUGACGCUGAGGUGCGAAAGCCAGGGGAGCGAACGGG